rnacentral:rRNA from 1 species
AGUGAACGCUGGCGGUAGGCCUAACACAUGCAAGUCGAACGGCAGCACAGUAAGAGCUUGCUCUUACGGGUGGCGAGUGGCGGACGGGUGAGGAAUACAUCGGAAUCUACUUUUUCGUGGGGGAUAACGUAGGGAAACUUACGCUAAUACCGCAUACGACCUACGGGUGAAAGCAAGGGAUCUUCGGACCUUGCGCGAUUGAAUGAGCCGAUGUCGGAUUAGCUAGUUGGCGGGGUAAAGGCCCACCAAGGCGACGAUCCGUAGCUGGUCUGAGAGGAUGAUCAGCCACACUGGAACUGAGACACGGUCCAGACUCCUACGGGAGGCAGCAGUGAGGAAUAUUGGACAAUGGGCGCAAGCCUGAUCCAGCCAUACCGCGUGGGUGAAGAAGGCCUUCGGGUUGUAAAGCCCUUUUGUUGGGAAAGAAAAGCAGCAGGUUAAUACCCCGCUGUUCUGACGGUACCCAAAGAAUAAGCACCGGCUAACUUCGUG